rnacentral:rRNA from 1 species
UGGGGAAUUUUGGACAAUGGGCGCAAGCNUGAUCCAGCCAUGCCGCGUGUCUGAAGAAGGCCUUCGGGUUGUAAAGGACUUUUGUCAGGGAAGAAAAGGCUGUUGCUAAUAUCAGCGGCUGAUGACGGUACCUGAAGAAUAAGCACCGGCUAACUACGUGCCAGCAGCCGCGGUAAUACGUAGGGUGCAAGCGUUAAUCGGAAUUACUGGGCGUAAAGCGAGCGCAGACGGUUACUUAAGCAGGAUGUGAAAUCCCCGGGCUCAACCUGGGAACUGCGUUCUGAACUGGGUGACUAGAGUGUGUCAGAGGGAGGUAGAAUUCCACGUGUAGCAGUGAAAUGCGUAGAGAUGUGGAGGAAUACCGAUGGCGAAGGCAGCCUCCUGGGAUAACACUGACGUUCAUGCUCGAAAGCGUGGGUAGCAAACAGGAUUAGAUACCCUGGUAGUCCACGCCCUAAACGAUGUCAAUUAGCUGUUGGGCAACUUGAUUGUUCAGUAGCGUAGCUAACGCGUGAAAUUGACCGCCUGGGGAGUACGGUCGCAAGAUUA